GGCGCAGAUAGCAGCAUGGCCCUCCCGCCCGCUUCUGUCCGCACCCGCCCCGCCCUGUCUUGUCCGUGUGAACCAGCAGCGACCCAUACACAGGCUCUUCCGUGCUUGUUUUCUUCCAUUUCUUAUUUUUUUUAAUUCACAUAGACUGCAGUAAAACUGGCUGUUUCUCCUCUGUCUCCGCCCUCCGUCCAACCGGUUCAUGGUACCUAGCAGCCAUGUCCGUGACGUUCGCAGGCCAAGCAAUGUUGUGUGUCCUUCUAUGUGUGCCUCAGUACCCUUUCGAUUACAGGGAUUAUAAGCACAAGGGGCUGCCAGUUUUCCAGGCAUUGCACAAAAAAAAAAAAAAAAAAAAAAAAAAAAAAAAAGAAAGCACACACUUAUUGGGAGGAGAGUCACAAUGACAUUCUCGCACCUGAAAAGAUUCAAAACUUUUAAGUAGAACAGUUAUGAGACCAGCAGCCACUUUCUACAGCUGAGGGAAAAAGCUAUUUCAAGCUGAUGCUUAAGACCAUGUGAGAAAUUGUGCAUGUGAGAGGCGAGAAACUUCCUAGUCUUCUGAGAAAGCUGUGAAGAAAGUGACAUUUUAUCCACAGUGGUACCUCGGUUCAUGAACUGAAAUUUUUCCGCCGUUGUGGAAAAGGUGGCCACGUUUGUGUUUGUGUAGGAAAGAUGGCCGCGUUCAUGUCUAUCGCCCGAUGCAGAGUUGGCAAGCAAAACCAAGAUUUUGCUAAAUGCUCUUGUUUGCCAACCAAAUUGUUCACAAGCAAAAGCGUCCAUGAAGUGCGGUACCACUGUAUUCUUCCAAAACACACGUUCAUCUACGAAGCAGUCUAUGGGAUGAGGCUGCUAGCUUCACCAAGGAGCACAGCCGGUUCCGUCCUCUUGGAUAACCCUUUGUGUGCCAUCACAGAGAAUUUAAGGCUUAUUUUUUCCCUAACCAUUGAAAUACUUUAAAAUUCAAGAUGUGCUGUGUCUAGUAGCUGUCAGUCAAUCAAAGUGCACUGUUCACCAGCGUUAGCGGCUGUGUACCAUUGUGAACAGUUGAGUCAACUGUAACAACCCAAGUCCACAGAGUCGCCAGCUGUGGGUGCUGUGACUCCCGGCCUCAGCCAGGCAAGGGAGAGAUUGUUGUCUUGCGCCCCACUCCCAUCAUGGUUUCGAAGAAACAGCCAGUUUUAGGGUCCUUUAGUGCUAUGCAUGUGGUGUCCUUGGCAUUGGAAAACACACCUAGCAGAGCAAGAGAACACUUCUGUUUGCAUGAAUCACACGAGGCCGGGUCCGUCCAAGGGUGCAUACUCUGGGUUUCCAUCUCACCCACACUGCCAGUGCAGCACCUAAGAGCGGGCAGUCUAAUCGUGCCAGGAAGCAGCACAGGCACAGCAUAGCAGGAGUCCUUCCCAUUCAGAGAACUCAGUCUGACAAUCUGCCUCCAGCAGCCAAUGGUACCCAAGACCAAAGCCAGCUAGCCCUCAGGAAGGCGCUGUCCGAUGGACCGGUCCAGCCAGACGGAGGGGUUACACACAUUGUGUAAAACAAUGACAUCUCACCCAUUCGCCACUAUGCAGUGUGGCUGGGGCCAGGACAUGUGGGUACAGACUAGGACUCAGGGAAUCUUCAAGUGGACUGUGAAAAU
ensembl:lncRNA